AAUUUAUCAUCUACAGGAUGAAGUCAGGAUCACAAACAAAUAAGAAAAUCUAUUCAAGAACUUCAAGAAACUGUCCACUGAGACAUAAAAACAUGUACAUAGGCUAUUUCAAAAUACAGACAAAGCAGGAUUUGUCAAAGUUGUGUUUUUGACAAAGAAGGUUUAAAACCUUUGUGGACAUGGAUUUUGAAACUUCUUAAAACUCUGGAAGGAUGAGGAAAAGGAACGUGGCAUUGAAAUGGAACAUGUUGGACAGGGUUAUCACGAUCAUGCAUUUAUAAAAGAUGACAGCAUAUCAGCACUGCCUUAAGAUUGGAGUUGAGACCUUGUAUUUUUCACACAGAAAAUAAAGAACAGUUGCUGAAUGAAACAGAUACUCACAGAAGCAAAUGUAAUGAGCCCAAAAUAAUGGUGAUCAAUUUUGAAUGACUUUAUUCUCUGGUUGAAAUGUUAUUGAAAUGAUACAUACUGAUCCAAUUUUAGAAGUGGUUGACAAUGAAUACUAAGUAAUUUGUUGUACAUAAGUAUAAUGGCUUAUUUUAAAACUGUAUAAAGUUUGCAAUUUUUAUAUCAAAUGUAAUGAUAUUGUGUAGGAAUCAAUUUUUUUAAGGAUAAAAGAUGUAUUUUUUUUUCAAUCAGAAUUUCAUAAAAAGACUUUCUAAUGUAAAUACAUAUAUGGAUAAUAGAAGAUUAUAAUAUUUUCUUUUACUGUCAUUGAAAUACUGUAAUAAUGAACUGCAAUUUUACACAAAAAUGUUUUAACUUGAAAGUUUCAAAUUUCAAGGUUUUAUGAAGUUUGAAUUGUGGUUCAUAUUGCUUUUUAUUGAACUAUCUCCCUUAACCUUAGAUUUGUUGUGCAUUCUAUGUAAUAAAUUUAAUUUUGGAACAUAUGGGGAAGGUCUUGUUU